UGCCAGCCGCCGCGGUAACACGAACCGGACAAACGUUAUUCGGAAUCAUUGGGCGUAAAGGGCGCGUAGGCGGCCUGUCAAGUCAGUGGUGAAAUCCCUCGGCUCAACCGAGGAACUGCCUCUGAAACUGUCAGGCUUGAGGCCGGGAGAGGGUAGUGGAAUUCCCAGUGUAGCGGUGAAAUGCGUAGAUAUUGGGAGGAACACCAGUGGCGAAGGCGGCUACCUGGACCGGUUCUGACGCUGAGGCGCGAAAGUGUGGGGAGCAAACAGGAUUAGAUA
rnacentral:rRNA from 1 species